CCCUGAUGGACAGUCUGAUCAGUUGUCUGGUGAGAGGUCUCAUUAUACUGGCUAAUCUAAAUGCUAAAUGCUAUUGUUUUAUAUUUAUUUUCUUAUCAUACUGUGUGAUUCAUUGAUACUCUAAAUCUGAGAAACAGGAGACUUAUUCUCAUUCUUACUUCUAGAAUAUGGCUGGGAUCUACACCCCUCAAGAGCUUUUUGUGGUCCUUGGAUGCCUAACUCCAUUUAUCAAUGGUUCCACCUACCUAUCUGUGUACCGUGGGAUUCUGACACAAAAUACGGAAAGCAUAACAAAUUAUUGCUACCCUCCAGAAACACAGCCACUGCUAACACAGCUACUCCAGGAGCCACACAUGUUUGGGUAAGACAAAAAAAAGAGAGCUAAAGAUGGCAUUUGAGUAUAUUUUUUAAGAAUGCCCCGAAAAGGCACGCAGACUACAGUCCUAGCUUUACACCAAAAAAGGUUUUACAAGGUUAAUCAAUUCUGUUCUUCCCGUAAACAAUUCUUAUUAGAAAUAAAAAGUUUUUAGUAUUUUUACGUGAAAAAUAACCAUCCUUUUAUUUAUCUAUCUAGCAUAUCUUGAAUGCGCUCCUUGUUCAUUCUUCGAGGGGGCUUCAAGGUAUUACAAUCAGAAUUUUAAAAACAUAUAUGAUUUCCUCUGACUAAAUAUCUAGAAGAAAAUGAAAUGCACGUUUUAUUUCGAAAGUAUCUACAAUUAAGUAGCAGAUUGAAGUCAAUGUGUGUUUAGCAUCACUAGGUUACUAGGCAAACUAAAGGGUCUCUGUUGACCAGUCAUUUCCAAGGGUCUCCUUGCACAGUCUGCUUUGAGUUUGCAACUUAUCACGACUUAAUCAAUUUCUAGGACACCACCCCAAUGGCAGUCCCAGGCUCUGCAGCGCAUAGACAGGUUGGUUCUCCUGUUUUCAGACCGCUCUCUACAAUCUCUCAAUAAGG